GUGUAUUUUUUAUACACUAUGGCAAUAAAAUUACCUUGUAAUAGGUGUAUUGGACCCGAGGGCAGUACUCGGCGCCUCCACCA
rnacentral:tmRNA from 3 species